AUGGUCCCCCAGGAACUUAAAAUUAAUAACUAUAACCCCGUGGAAGAAUAUGAGCCGGUUGCUGUUUGCAUAGGAAGAACGUACUCCAAGAUUGACACUCUUCCUUUGGGACACAGGGAAAGCUUGGUGCAGUUGAACAAAUACAAAUGGUGCUGCGUGCGGCAGCUCAUCGGCCGGCACAGCUGCCUCUUGGAGCCUGCCAAGACACUUAUGCUACUGCACGGAUGCUUCACGAGCAUGAAGCGCCUCGUGCCUAAAAUUCAGGCUUCCUACUCACAGCGCUCCUUAAUGACUGCGGGAACCCACCCCGACGACGAGGUGGCCCAGACGAUGCUACUAGAUGGCUGCUUCAUCCUACACCGCUUGCUCAAGUACGCGCGCCGCGCGAAAAUGGAACAAGCUGGCCUCGGCGGCCAUCAGUUUGUCGACGACGACGAGGACUGGACUCAGGUUUACGGCAGGUGCUUUGUGUGGCAGCUGGUGACGCGCGACCUCCUGCUGCUGCAGAACCAGAUCCCGUUCUGCGUGAUACGGGAGCUCUUUCAGCAUCUGGGGAACGAGGACGAGUCCGAAGAGCUCCUGGUGACCGGAAGCCUCAGGCUUUUCCGCUCCCUUCGUCCCCAGAUGCUGCACCAGUCGCCCAUCGCAUGCCGCGGCGUGCACCACCUGCUGCACCUCUUCUACCUUUCAGUCGGCUUCCCACCGAGCCACCACAGGCAGCAUUCCCGCCGCCGUCGAACCGAAGUGGUGCUAUCGGAGCUCCCUCAGUGGAUCCCGUGCGCCAAGGAGUUGGAGGAGGCUGGGGUCCAAUUCCGCAAGAGAGAGAAUGCCACGAGCUUCCUGGACGUGAGCUUCACCCAGGGCGUGCUGGAGAUCCCACAGCUGGAGCUCAACGACUCGAGCGAGUCGUUGUUCCGGAACCUGAUCGCAUUCGAGCAGACCUACCCGGACACCCCGCGCGACGUUUCCACCUACGCCGUCUUCAUGGACUGCCUCAUCACCUCGGCAGAGGACAUGAGGAUACUUGACCUGCACGGCAUCCUCGUCAGCCACCUCAGCAGCAGGAGGGUUGCAUGGCAUUUCUUCAGCGACAUCGGCGGGCAGGUGCACUGGUCGGCCGACGACAACUACCUAGUCGGCUUGAUGGACGAGGUGAACAGGUACAGGGAGCGCAGGCGUCACAAGUGGCGCGCGGCGCUUGCCCGCAACUACUUUAGCAACCCCUGGGUGACCAUGUCAGUGUUCGCAGCCCUACUCCUGCUCUCCAUGGCCGUGCUGCAGACCUUCUUCGCUGUCUAUGCCUACUUCAAGCCUCCCAAGUAA
rnacentral:rRNA from 1 species